rnacentral:tRNA from 1 species
GGGACAUUAGCUCAGUUGGUUAGAGCCCCCGGCUCAUAACCGGGUUGUCACAGGUUCAAGUCCUGUAUGUCCCA